ensembl:lncRNA
CAAGGGGAUUUCUUGUGGGAGAGUCUUGCUUAACUGAGGUCUUCCAAAGGCCUGCCCUUUUGCCACUGAUCUUAAUGGAAGUGGAAUCAUGCCAAAAUUGUGACUAUGGCCUCCAGAACAUAAAAUGUGAAGAACUAAGUGUUAAUAAAUCAGAAGUACUAGAGGGUCAAUCAAGAUCCUUCUCGACUGAAAUUCAAGGGUUUUAAGCAUUAUUCCACAAUCAUCAGUGUAACAAAAACAAAGUGAAAAGAAAGCCUUAAGUGGAAGCAAAAAGUCUAAACUCACCGAGUUGAAUUGCGGGUUGCAAUUUUUAAUUAAGGAUGGAACUUUAACCUGGUAGCAAUGCUAGGAGAAACUUUCUCGGGAACAGCUGCUUGUGCCCUGCCGCCUCCUGAAAUCCACUGCCGUGUUUCUGUGAGGUUCUAGAAGAUGGCUGUUCUCGUGCUCCAGAGGGCCGACGGUACCCCGGGGUGCGCGAAGCACAGCACACGCAGCGGGUCGGAAGCAGCGGCUGUCCCUCAUGCUCCUCACUGGCGCCACCCGCCCUUCAGCUGCCGCCCGCUUCCUCACAGGGCGCGUGCGGGCAGCGCGGAGCUCCGCUGUGGGACAGCAGCGCGGGAACGGCGCGGGGCCGCGUGAGGGCAGAGCGUGUGGGGG